UACAGAGGUCCCAAGCGUUGUUCGGAUUCAUUGGGCGUAAAGGGUGUGUAGGUGGCGCCGUAAGUCGGGUGUGAAAUCUCGGGGCUUAACUCCGAAACUGCAUUCGAUACUGCGGUGCUUGAGGACUGGAGAGGAGACUGGAAUUCAUGGUGUAGCAGUGAAAUGCGUAGAGAUCAUGAGGAAGACCAGUGGCGAAGGCGGGUCUCUGGACAGUUCCUGACGCUGAGGCACGAAGGUCAGGGGAGCAAACGGG
rnacentral:rRNA from 1 species